AUUGAACGCUGGCGGCAUGCCUUACACAUGCAAGUCGAACGGUAACAGGUCUUCGGCUGCUGACGCGUGGCGAACGGGUGAGUAAUACAUCGGAACGUGCCCGAUCGUGGGGGAUAACGAGGCGAAAGCUUUGCUAAUACCGCAUACGAUCUACGGAUGAGAGCGGGGGAGCUUCGGACCUCGCGCGGACGGAGCGGCCGAUGGCAGAUUAGGUAGUUGGUGGGUUAAAAGCUUACCAAGCCGACGAUCUGUAGCUGGUCUGAGAGGAUGAUCAGCCACACUGGGACUGGGACAGGGCCCAGACUCCUACGAGAGGCAGCAGUGGGAAAUUUUGGGCAAUGGGCGAAAGCCUGAUCCAACCAUGCCGCGUGCAGGAUGAAGGCCUUCGGGUUGUAAACUGCUUUUGUACGGAACGAAAAGCCUCUUGCAGAUAAAGAGGGGUCAUGACGGUACCGUAAGAAUAAGCACCGGCUAACUACGUG
rnacentral:rRNA from 1 species